CUAGUCUGGACGUGCCUUCUCUCUUUUCUCCUGGGCCACGGCCCGGCGACGCGAUGCCGGCCCAUGGUUGGGACGCGUCUCAGAACGGCUUCUCGUCAACUUCUCGCGUCACGCUCCUCCGGUUCUCCGCUCCGCCCCCUUCUCGACCGCCGGCCGCCGAGACGGGGAGGGGGAGCGGCGGAGUUCAACUGCCACCCCGGCCGCCUGCGCCGCGUCGGGGUGUGUCGAGCCACGUCAUACGCCCAGGUGAUUUUUGCCGCAACUCUUCACAGUUGGACUUCACCAAUCGACUGAUUGAUUCAUUCCUCGCUAGAUCCCAAACACGACGAGUAGUAUUCAGCACACACGAGCAUCUCGCAACAUCAUCGUCAUCAUCAUCAACUAGGUUGUCUACACAGAAACUACGCCUACAA
rnacentral:lncRNA from 1 species